UACGGGGGGGGUAAGCGUUGUUCGGAAUUACUGGGCGUAAAGGGCGCGUAGGCGGCCGCCUAAGUCAGACGUGAAAUCCCUCGGCUUAACCGGGGAACUGCGUCUGAUACUGGAUGGCUUGAGAUUGGGAGAGGGAUGCGGAAUUCCAGGUGUAGCGGUGAAAUGCGUAGAUAUCUGGAGGAACACCGGUGGCGAAGGCGGCAUCCUGGACCAACACUGACGCUGAGGAGCGAAAGCCAGGGGAGCAAACGGG
rnacentral:rRNA from 1 species